CCUGCCUGUACAAGUGCUACAGUUGUGGCUGCUGUGGCACAUGUGCAUCAGGAGGUGGCAGAGAGGAGAGAGGCUAUUUCUAUACCCAGUGUUCUGGUCUAAGAACAUCUAAAUGAUUAAUAGCCUAACAUU